rnacentral:rRNA from 1 species
ACUCCUACGGGAGGCAGCAGUAGGGAAUCUUCCACAAUGGGCGCAAGCCUGAUGGAGCAACACCGCGUGAGUGAAGAAGGGUUUCGGCUCGUAAAGCUCUGUUGUUAAAGAAGAAUACGUAUGAGAGUAACUGUUCAUACGUUGACGGUAUUUAACCAGAAAGUCACGGCUAACUACGUGCCAGCAGCCGCGGUAAUACGUAGGUGGCAAGCGUUAUCCGGAUUUAUUGGGCGUAAAGAGAGUGCAGGCGGUUUUCUAAGUCUGAUGUGAAAGCCUUCGGCUUAACCGGAGAAGUGCAUCGGAAACUGGAUAACUUGAGUGCAGAAGAGGGUAGUGGAACUCCAUGUGUAGCGGUAGAAUGCGUAGAUAUAUGGAAGAACACCAGUGGCGAAGGCGGCUACCUGGUCUGCAACUGACGCUGAGACUCGAAAGCAUGGGUAGCGAACAGGAUUAGAUACCCUGGUAGGAUAGCG